GACGAACGCUGGCGGCGUGCCUAAUACAUGCAAGUUGAGCGCUGAAGGUUGGUACUUGUACCAACUGGAUGAGCAGCGAACGGGUGAGUAACGCGUGGGGAAUCUGCCUUUGAGCGGGGGACAACAUUUGGAAACGAAUGCUAAUACCGCAUAAAAACUUUAAACACUAGUUUUAAGUUUGAAAGAUGCAAUUGCAUCACUCAAAGAUGAUCCCGCGUUGUAUUAGCUAGUUGGUGAGGUAAAGGCUCACCAAGGCGAUGAUACAUAGCCGACCUGAGAGGGUGAUCGGCCACAUUGGGACUGAGACACGGCCCAAACUCCUACGGGAGGCAGCAGUAGGGAAUCUUCGGCAAUGGACGAAAGUCUGACCGAGCAACGCCGCGUGAGUGAAGAAGGUUUUCGGAUCGUAAAACUCUGUUGGUAGAGAAGAACGUUGGUGAGAGUGGAAAGCUCAUCAAGUGACGGUAACUACCCAGAAAGGGACGGCUAACUACGUG
rnacentral:rRNA from 1 species